UACGGAGGGAGCUAGCGUUGUUCGGAAUUACUGGGCGUAAAGCGCGCGUAGGCGGCUUUGUAAGUUAGAGGUGAAAGCCCGGAGCUCAACUCCGGAACUGCCAUUGAAACUGUUUAGCUUGAGGAUGAGAGAGGUGAGUGGAAUUCCCAGUGUAGAGGUGAAAUUCGUAGAUAUUGGGAAGAACACCGGUGGCGAAGGCGGCGACCUGGUCCGAUACUGACGCUGAGGCGCGAAAGCGUGGGGAGCAAACAGG
rnacentral:rRNA from 1 species